rfam:Streptococcus sp. DORA_10 Q617_SPSC00336, whole genome shotgun sequence.
AAAUAUAUGGUACAAUAGUUUAACAGAGAAGUGAAGACGGUGGUUACAAAAUCGAAAGGAUGGUGAUGCUUAUGUGCAGAACCUGUAAAAUCUUAGUAGAAAGGAGUAACCAGAUUUGUCCCCUUUUGAGGCUUUGACACUCAUGUUUGUAGCUGGUAACUUUGUUAUCACGCUCCUAAGGUUCAU